GACGAACGCUGGCGGCGUGCUUAACACAUGCAAGUCGAACGGUGAACUCCGCUUGCGGGGGGAUCAGUGGCGAACGGGUGAGUAACACGUGGGCAACCUGCCCUCAGCUCUGGGAUAACUCCAAGAAAUUGGGGCUAAUACCGUAUAUGACCGCUGACCGCAUGGUCUGGUGGUGGAAAGAUUUAUCGGCUGGGGAUGGGCCCGCGGCCUAUCAGCUUGUUGGUGGGGUAGUGGCCUACCAAGGCGACGACGGGUAGCCGGCCUGAGAGGGUGACCGGCCACACUGGGACUGAGACACGGCCCAGACUCCUACGGGAGGCAGCAGUGGGGAAUAUUGCGCAAUGGGCGAAAGCCUGACGCAGCGACGCCGCGUGGGGGAUGACGGCCUUCGGGUUGUAAACCUCUUUCAGCAGGGACGAAGCGAAAGUGACGGUACCUGCAGAAGAAGCACCGGCCAACUACGUG
rnacentral:rRNA from 1 species